CUACGGGUGGCUCCAGUGAGGAAUAUUGCACAAUGGGGGGAACCCUGAUGCAGCAACGCCGCGUGGAGGAUGACGCAUUUCGGUGUGUAAACUCCUUUUAUAUGUCAAGAAAAUGACGGUAGCAUAUGAAUAAGCACCGGCUAACUCCGUGCCAGCAGCCGCGGUAAUACGGAGGGUACAAGCGUUACUCGGAAUCACUGGGCGUAAAGGACGCGUAGGCGGGUUGGAAAGUCAGGUGUGAAAUCCUACAGCUUAACUGUAGAACUGCACUUGAAACUUCUAAUCUAGAGUAUGGGAGGGGGAGAUGGAAUUAGUGGUGUAGGGGUAAAAUCCGUAGAUAUCACUAGGAAUACCUAAAGCGAAGGCGAUCUCCUGGAACAUUACUGACGCUAAGGCGUGAAAGCGUGGGGAGCAAACAGGAUUAGAUACCCUGGUAGUC
rnacentral:rRNA from 1 species